AUUGAACGCUGGCGGCAGGCCUAACACAUGCAAGUCGAACGAGUGGCGGACGGGUGAGUAAUGUCUGGGACACUGCCUGAUGGAGGGGGAUAACUACUGGAAACGGUAGCUAAUAGCGCAUACCAUCGGAUGUGCCCACAUGGGCUUAGCUAGUGGGGGGGGUAAACGCGCACCUAGGCGACGAUCCCUAGCUGGUAUGAGAGGAUGACCAGCAACACUGGAACUGAGACACGGUCCAGACUCCUACGGGAGGCAGCAGUGGGGAAUAUUGCACAAUGGGCGCAAGCCUGAUGCAGCCAUGCCGCGUGUAUGAAGAAGGCCUUCGGGUUGUAAAGUACUUUCAGCGGGGAGGCGUUACCCGCAGAAGAAGCACCGGCUAACUCCGUGCCAGCAGCCGCGGUAAUUC
rnacentral:rRNA from 1 species